UACGUAGGGCGCAAGCGUUGUCCGGAAUUAUUGGGCGUAAAGGGCGCGUAGGCGGCGCGGGAAGUCAUCGGUGAAAGUUCAGGGCUCAACUCUGAAUCGGCCGGUGAUACUCUCGUGCUUGAGCACUGUAGAGGCAGGUGGAAUUCCGGGUGUAGCGGUGGAAUGCGUAGAGAUCCGGAAGAACACCGGUGGCGAAGGCGGCCUGCUGGGCAGUAGCUGACGCUGAUGCGCGACAGCGUGGGGAGCAAACAGG
rnacentral:rRNA from 1 species